GGGGAGAUGGCUCAGUGGUUAAGAGCACUGGCUUCUCUUCCAGAGGAUCUGGGUUCAAUUCCCACCACUCACCU
rnacentral:tRNA from 1 species